GACGAACGCUGGCGGCGUGCUUAACACAUGCAAGUCGAACGGAAAGGCCUCUUUCGGGGGGUACUCGAGUGGCGAACGGGUGAGUAACACGUGAGUAACCUGCCCUUGACUUUGGGAUAACUUCAGGAAACUGGGGCUAAUACAGGAUAGGAGCUCCUGCGGCACGGUGGGGGUUGGAAAGUUUCGGCGGGUGGGGAUGGACUCGCGGCUUAUCAGCUUGUUUGGGGGGGAGUGGCGUACCAAGGGUUUGUCGGGUAGCCGGGCUGGGAGGGUGGACCGCCACAUUGGGACUGAGGUACGGGCCAGACUCCCACGGGAGGGAGGAGGGGGGAAUAUUGGACAAUGGGUGGGAGCCUGAUGCAGCAACGCCGGGGGCGGGAUGACGGGCUUCGGGGUGUAAACCGCUUUCGCUCAUGACGAAGCUUUGUGUGACGGUAGUGGGUAAAGAAGCACCGGCUAACUACGUG
rnacentral:rRNA from 1 species